rnacentral:rRNA from 1 species
CCUACGGGGGGCAGCAGUGAGGAAUAUUGGUCAAUGGGCGCGAGCCUGAACCAGCCAAGUAGCGUGAAGGAUGACUGCCCUACGGGUUGUAAACUUCUUUUAUAAAGGAAUAAAGCGAGGCACGUGUGCCUUUUUGUAUGUACUUUAUGAAUAAGGAUCGGCUAACUCCGUGCCAGCAGCCGCGGUAAUACGGAGGAUCCGAGCGUUAUCCGGAUUUAUUGGGUUUAAAGGGAGCGUAGAUGGGUUGUUAAGUCAGUUGUGAAAGUUUGGGGCUCAACCGUAAAAUUGCAAUUGAUACUGGCAGCCUUGAGAACAGUUGAGGUAGGCGGAAUGCAUGGUGUAGCGGUGAAAUGCUUAGAGAUCACGAAGAACUCCGAUUGCGAAGGCAGCUUACUAAUCUGCCACUGACGUUGAUGCUCGAAAGUGUGGGUAUCAAACAGGAUUAGAUACCCGAGUAGUC